rnacentral:rRNA from 1 species
AGCGAACGCUGGCGGCAGGCCUAACACAUGCAAGUCGAACGAAGUCUUCGGACUUAGUGGCGGACGGGUGAGUAACACGUGGGAACGUGCCUUUAGGUUCGGAAUAACUCAGGGAAACUUGUGCUAAUACCGAAUGUGCCCUUCGGGGGAAAGAUUUAUCGCCUUUAGAGCGGCCCGCGUCUGAUUAGCUAGUUGGUGAGGUAAAGGCUCACCAAGGCGACGAUCAGUAGCUGGUCUGAGAGGAUGAUCAGCCACAUUGGGACUGAGACACGGCCCAAACUCCUACGGGAGGCAGCAGUGGGGAAUCUUGCGCAAUGGGCGAAAGCCUGACGCAGCCAUGCCGCGUGAAUGAUGAAGGUCUUAGGAUUGUAAAAUUCUUUCACCGGGGACGAUAACGGCGGUACCCGGAGAAGAAGCCCCGGCUAACUUCGUGCCAGCCGCCGCAGUAACAC